GAAAUAAGGAAAUUUGCAGACAAACAAAAUUUAGAAAAUAUGUUCUCAUCAGAACUGACUGAAUUAAAUUCUAAAGGGAGACCUGCAGGCAGAAGGAAGAUUAUCACAGAUGAAAAUAAGGACUUUAUAAAGAAUUAUGUAUAACAGAAAGGAUAAAUAAGUGGAUAAACCUAAGUAAAAUCUAACAGCACACAAGAGUAAUAAUAAAAUAUAUCAAAAAUUAGAAUGCAUUAAAACAAAUGGAAGAGGAAAAAGAAGUAAAAGAAAUUUAAGAUCUCAGCAUUGCUUGAGAAGCAGUAAAAGAGCUAAUAAGUCAUGGUACCUGUGUAACUGCUACUUAUGUAAAAAUAAGCUAAUACAAGGGAAAAUGGAAUUUGAAGAAAUCUCAAAGGAAGAAAGAAGAGCAAAAGGAACGUAACAAGGUGGGACAAAUAGUAAACAAGGAGUAAACGGUCUAUAAGAAAAUACAUUAACUGUAAAUACUGAAAUUAAAGGACAAGGAUUAUUGAAACAAACCAAAAACCUAAUUCUGUGCCACCUACGAGAGACAAGAGUCAGAUUGAAAAUGAAAGGAUUCAAAAAUUAUGUCAUAACAACAAUAAGUAAAAUUGAAGAAGAUUUUUUAAUGUUAACAUAGAUUUGAAAGCAAAAAGUAUCACUGGCGAUAAGGCAGGAUAAUAAAACCCACUGUUACUUUACAAGGAAUAUAUUAUAAGUCUAAACUUCAAUGCAAUAUAUGAAGGGAAAUUCCAAAAAUCUAAGUAGAAAUAGAAAAAUCUAAAUUACCUAGAUCAGGAACAUAGAACCACAACAACAAAUCAGCAGAUUAUAGAAGAUCUGAGUACCAUCAUUAAAAACUUUGGCCUAAAUUUACAUAAAACACUGCACCAACGAUGAUGGAAUAUAUAUAUUAUGCAGAAAUUUUUAGGUGCACAUGGCACAUUUAUAAAAUUGACUAUAUUCUGGUUAUAAAACAAGGCACUGAAUAAGCAAGAAAUUUAAACCUAUAUAACCAAUAUUUUACCAAAUAGUUGGAUACUUCUGAUCAUUAUUUAGGUCAAAGAUAAAGCCGCAAUGGGAAUUAGAAUUUUAUUAAUUGAAUGAUAAUGAAAAUAUGCCAUAACAAAACCUGUGGGUUGCAAAUAAAGCUGUGGUCACAGAGAAGUUUAUGUAUUCCAAUUAUACUCUCUAAAUGUAAAACGGAAAAGAAUAAAGCAACUAGAAGAUAACCUAUCACCCUGAGGUAGGCAGCUCCUGAACUGUACCUGGUGGGGAAGGCAGGGCAGAACUUCAGGAGGCCGGCUGAGAGCACGGUGAACACCAUGUCAGGAGCAGUCUCCAAGAAAGAGAAUUUAAUGUACAAAGGAAUGACUAAAAUAUAUUUAAGAGCUAGCACCCUGACCCCUCUUAAGGAUGACUUAUGUUGCUGGGGAAAAAAUAAGAAGUGCUCGAUGUAGAAGGUGAAUAUCUCUAUAAUUCCCAGGAGAAUCUUGGUACCAGGACCACACAAUGAAGAACUUGGAGCCCCCGUGGCUAAUCCAGCAGAGAGAAAAGGAGGAACAGAGAUGCGAGAGAAAAUAAAGGGAACUCUUGGUGCAAUUUGGUGCUGCUGUAGGCCCAAGUCCAGAACUGAUUUUUCAAAAAUCACUGGAUUUAUUGAAAGACAUGGAAUAGAAAUGCAGUGAAAUUCAGAUCACAGAGAAUCAUAAAGAAAUUUGCUUUUGGAAAAAUCAGUUCUGUGUAAUUAGCAGUGAUUUCCAGAAACAUUUCUUCUUCUAUACUGAUGUGAAGGAAAAUGCAGUUAAGGAAGAUAAAUCACUGGACCAUUGGGAGCCAUGUCAGAGGACUGAAUACUACCCAGAGAUCUUGUACUUCAGAAUAAAUGCAGUAAUUGACUUUGGAUUUUCUCCCUUUGGGAAGGAAUUAAGACAUAUUUCAAGUGGGCACGAAUUUUUUUAAAAUGUAUUGUAGAAUGUGUGGAAUGAAAAUAUGUAUGUGGAAUAAGUUCUCGGAUAGCCAAAGAGCUUGUAAUAUUGGAUUUUAAUUGUUGCUUAUCCAUUUAUAUUCCAUAUGCCCCCUUCAUUUCCCUACUAGAAACUGAAUUCAUUUUCCCCAAAUAUCCAGUUCAUUCUAUGAAGCUUAUAUAACUUAGUAGAGACUGAGUGGGCUCCGUUUAGUCUAAA